GGAGUUUGAGAGGAUUCUUGCUUCCUUUCAUCCUUAGCGUCGGACGGGUGAGUAUCACGUAGGCAACCUGCCCUCAAGCCUGGUAUAACUACCGGAAACGGUAGCUAAUACCGGAUAAUUUCUUUUUUCUCCUGAGGAAAGAAUGAAAGGCGGAGCAAUCUGCUGCUUGGGGAUGGGCCUGCGGCGCAUUAGCUAGUUGGUGGGGUAACGGCCCACCAAGGCGACGAUGCGUAGCCGACCUGAGAGGGUGAACGGCCACACUGGGACUGAAACACGGCCCACACUCCUACGGGAGGCAGCAGUAGGGAAUCUUCCGCAAUGGGCGCAAGCCUGACGGACCAAUGCCGCGUGAGUGAUGAAGGUUUUCGGAUCGUAAAGCUCUGUUGCCAGGGAAGAACGUCCGGUAGAGUAACUGCUACCGGAGUGACCGUACCUGAAAAGAAAGCCCCGGAUAACUACCUGCCCGCCGCCGCGGUAAUACCUAGGGGGCAAGCGUUGUCCGGAAUUAUUGGGCGUAAAGCGCGCGCAGGCGGUUAUUUAAGUCUGGUGUUUAAACCUUGGGCUCAACCUGAGGUCGCACUGGAAACUGGGUGACUUUUCGUACAGAAGAAGAAAGUGGAAUUCCACGUGUAUCGGCGAAAUGCGUAGAUAUGUGGAGGAACACCAGUGGCCAAUGCGACUUUCUUGGGCUGUAACUGACCCUGAAGCGCGAAAGCUUGGGGAGCAAACAAGAUUAAAUACCCUGGUA
rnacentral:rRNA from 1 species